UCGACCCUAGACCCUCUCCCGUUCAACGGUGGUUAUUCUGUGGAAGGGGCUUCGUGACGACGGUGGUGUGGCGGUGUGAGGAAGGUGGUAUUGCGGCGUGAGGACGUAGGGUUGUCACUGCGUGAAGGAUUGUUCUUCGAGGGAUCUUUGUGGAGGGUGGUUCUUUCGUAGGAACGAGGUUGCUUCCAGCAUCUUGGUUGAGGUCUUGGUUUGUGUUUCUUCCCUUCCCGUGGAGGUAAGUAGGUUUUUU
rnacentral:lncRNA from 1 species